rnacentral:lncRNA from 1 species
AUCAGAGGAACUGGAGUAAGCGGAUAGUUUCGGCAACGGGCCCUAGUCGCACCGCGCACCUUGGCCGAAUGGAAACUUGGGCUUGGCCUCGCCAAAUGUGGCCCCCGUGUAGAUUACAUCCUGUAAAGCGUGCAGGCGGGGACUGAGCACCGGUGCCCAUGGCGAUCCCAAGACGAACAAAGCGUUGACGAACCUCGUAAGGGAUGUUUCCAAUGGAUAAGCAAAGUCGCGCAACCUCCGCACGGCCCGGAACUGCAUGACAAGAAUCGGGGGCGAAAAUUAGGCAUGCGCUGCAACGUUGCCCCUUUGAACUCGAAGCUUGCCUGGGAAAUAGUGGAUUUUGAGCGACAUUUAUGUGCCUGUUGGUGAUGAAAAAUUUUACAGGAUGUGAGGAAGGAGGAAGGAGCUCGGAUGCAGGCACGCUGCGUGUGUUUCGGCCCAUGCAUUCUCCCGAUGCCAAGGCCCCUGACCCAAUUC